rnacentral:rRNA from 1 species
UACAGAGGGGGCAAGCGUUAUUCGGAAUUAUUGGGCGUAAAGGGCGCGUAGGCGGCUUUGCAAGUGACGGGUGAAAUCCCUCGGCUUAACCGAGGAACUGCCUGUCAAACUGCAUGGCUUGAGACCGGGAGAGGUGAGUGGAAUUCCCAGUGUAGCGGUGAAAUGCGUAGAUAUUGGGAGGAACAUCAGUUGCGAAGGCGGCUCUCUGGACCAGCACUGACACUGAGGCACGAAAGCGUGGGGAGCAAACAGG